rnacentral:rRNA from 1 species
AUUGAACGCUGGCGGCAUGCCUUACACAUGCAAGUCGAACGGUAACGCGGGGCAACCUGGCGACGAGUGGCGAACGGGUGAGUAACGCAUCGGAACGUGCCCAGUAGUGGGGGAUAGCCCGGCGAAAGCCGGAUUAAUACCGCAUACGACCUACGGGUGAAAGGGGGGGAUCGCAAGACCUCUCGCUAUUGGAGCGGCCGAUGUCAGAGUAGGUAGUUGGGGGGGUAAAGGCCUACCAAGCCGAAGAUCUGUAGCUGGUCUGAGAGGACGACCAGCCACACUGGGACUGAGACACGGCCCAGACUCCUACGGGAGUCAGCAGUGGGGAAUUUUGGACAAUGGGCGAAAGCCUGAUCCAGCCAUGCCGCGUGCGGGAAGAAGGCCUUCGGGUUGUAAACCGCUUUUGUCAGGGAAGAAAUCUUCUGGGUUAAUACCUCGGGAGGAUGACGGUACCUGAAGAAUAAGCACCGGCUAACUACGUGCCAGCAGCCGCAGUAA